CCUACGGGAGGCAGCAGUGGGGAAUCUUGGACAAUGGGCGCAAGCCUGAUCCAGCCAUGCCGCGUGAGUGAAGAAGGCCUUCGGGUUGUAAAGCUCUUUUGUCAGGGACGAUAAUGACGGUACCUGAAGAAUAAGCCCCGGCAAACUUCGUGCCAGCAGCCGCGGUAAUACGAAGGGGGCUAGCGUUGUUCGGAAUUACUGGGCGUAAAGCGCACGUAGGCGGACAUUUAAGUCAGGGGUGAAAUCCCGAGGCUCAACCUCGGAACUGCCCUUGAUACUGGGUGUCUCGAGUCCGGAAGAGGUUAGUGGAAUUCCCAGUGUAGAGGUGAAAUUCGUAGAUAUUGGGAAGAACACCAGUGGCGAAGGCGGCUAACUGGUCCGGUACUGACGCUGAGGUGCGAAAGCGUGGGGAGCAAACAGGCUUAGAUACCCCAGUAGUC
rnacentral:rRNA from 2 species